rnacentral:rRNA from 1 species
UACGGGAGGCAGCAGUGGGGAAUAUUGCACAAUGGGCGCAAGCCUGAUGCAGCCAUGCCGCGUGUAUGAAGAAGGCCUUCGGGUUGUAAAGUACUUUCAGUCGUGAGGAAGGUGUUAAGGUUAAUAACCUUAGCAAUUGACGUUAGCGACAGAAGGAGCACCGGCUAACUCCGUGCCAGCAGCCGCGGUAAUACGGAGGGUGCGAGCGUUAAUCGGAAUUACUGGGCGUAAAGGGCACGCAGGCGGUUAAUUAAGUUGGAUGUGAAAUCCCCGGGCUUAACCUGGGAAUGGCAUUCAAGACUGGUUAGCUAGAGUCUUGUAGAGGGGGUAGAAUUCCAUGUGUAGCGGUGAAAUGCGUAGAGAUGUGGAGGAAUACCGGGUGGCGAAGGCGGCCCCUGGGACAAAGACUGACGCUCAUGUGCGAAAGCGUGGGGAGCAAACAGGGAUUAGAUACC